UUUGGUUAAGUUAGAAAGGGCGCACGGUGGAUGCCUUGACACUAGGAGUCGAUGAAGGACGGGACUAACGCCGAUAUGCUUCGGGGAGCUGUAAGUAAGCUUUGAUCCGAAGAUUUCCGAAUGGGGAAACCCACCAUACGUAAUGGUAUGGUAUCCUUAUCUGAAUACAUAGGGUAAGGAAGACAGACCCAGGGAACUGAAACAUCUAAGUACCUGGAGGAAGAGAAAGCAAAUGCGAUUUCCUGAGUAGCGGCGAGCGAAACGGAACAUAGCCCAAACCAAGAGGCUUGCCUCUUGGGGUUGUAGGACAUUCUAUACGGAGUUACAAAGGAACGAGGUAGACGAAGCGACCUGGAAAGGUCCGUCGUAGAGGGUAACAACCCCGUAGUCGAAACUUCGUUCUCUCUUGAAUGUAUCCUGAGUACGGCGGAACACGUGAAAUUCCGUCGGAAUCUGGGAGGACCAUCUCCCAAGGCUAAAUACUCCCUAGUGAUCGAUAGUGAACCAGUACCGUGAGGGAAAGGUGAAAAGCACCCCGGAAGGGGAGUGAAAGAGAUCCUGAAACCGUGUGCCUACAAAUAGUCAGAGCCCGUUAACGGGUGAUGGCGUGCCUUUUGUAGAAUGAACCGGCGAGUUACGAUCCCGUGCGAGGUUAAGCUGAAGAGGCGGAGCCGCAGCGAAAGCGAGUCUGAAUAGGGCGUUUAGUACGUGGUCGUAGACCCGAAACCAGGUGAUCUACCCAUGUCCAGGGUGAAGUUCAGGUAACACUGAAUGGAGGCCCGAACCCACGCACGUUGAAAAGUGCGGGGAUGAGGUGUGGGUAGCGGAGAAAUUCCAAUCGAACCUGGAGAUAGCUGGUUCUCCCCGAAAUAGCUUUAGGGCUAGCCUUAAGUGUAAGAGUCUUGGAGGUAGAGCACUGAUUGGACUAGGGGUCCUCAUCGGAUUACCGAAUUCAGUCAAACUCCGAAUGCCAAUGACUUAUCCUUAGGAGUCAGACUGCGAGUGAUAAGAUCCGUAGUCAAAAGGGAAACAGCCCAGACCGCCAGCUAAGGUCCCAAAGUGUGUAUUAAGUGGAAAAGGAUGUGGAGUUGCUUAGACAACUAGGAUGUUGGCUUAGAAGCAGCCACCAUUUAAAGAGUGCGUAAUAGCUCACUAGUCGAGUGACUCUGCGCCGAAAAUGUACCGGGGCUAAAUACACCACCGAAGCUGCGGAUUGAUACCAAUGGUAUCAGUGGUAGGGGAGCGUUCUAAGGACAGUGAAGUCAGACCGUAAGGACUGGUGGAGUGCUUAGAAGUGAGAAUGCCGGUAUGAGUAGCGAAAGACGGGUGAGAAUCCCGUCCACCGAAUGCCUAAGGUUUCCUGAGGAAGGCUCGUCCGCUCAGGGUUAGUCAGGACCUAAGCCGAGGCCGACAGGCGUAGGCGAUGGACAACAGGUUGAUAUUCCUGUACCACCUCUUUAUCGUUUGAGCAAUGGAGGGACGCAGAAGGAUAGAAGAAGCGUGCGAUUGGUUGUGCACGUCCAAGCAGUUAGGCUGAUAAGUAGGCAAAUCCGCUUAUCGUGAAGGCUGAGCUGUGAUGGGGAAGCUCCUUAUGGAGCGAAGUCUUUGAUUCCCCGCUGCCAAGAAAAGCUUCUAGCGAGAUAAAAGGUGCCUGUACCGCAAACCGACACAGGUAGGCGAGGAGAGAAUCCUAAGGUGUGCGAGAGAACUCUGGUUAAGGAACUCGGCAAAAUGACCCCGUAACUUCGGGAGAAGGGGUGCUUUCUUAACGGAAAGCCGCAGUGAAUAGGCCCAAGCGACUGUUUAGCAAAAACACAGCUCUCUGCGAAGCCGUAAGGCGAAGUAUAGGGGGUGACACCUGCCCGGUGCUGGAAGGUUAAGGAGAGGGGUUAGCGUAAGCGAAGCUCUGAACUGAAGCCCCAGUAAACGGCGGCCGUAACUAUAACGGUCCUAAGGUAGCGAAAUUCCUUGUCGGGUAAGUUCCGACCCGCACGAAAGGUGUAACGAUUUGGGCACUGUCUCAACCAGAGACUCGGUGAAAUUAUAGUACCUGUGAAGAUGCAGGUUACCCGCGACAGGACGGAAAGACCCCGUGGAGCUUUACUGUAGCCUGAUAUUGAAUUUUGGUACAGUUUGUACAGGAUAGGCGGGAGCCAUUGAAACCGGAGCGCUAGCUUCGGUGGAGGCGCUGGUGGGAUACCGCCCUGACUGUAUUGAAAUUCUAACCUACGGGUCUUAUCGACCCGGGAGACAGUGUCAGGUGGGCAGUUUGACUGGGGCGGUCGCCUCCUAAAGUGUAACGGAGGCGCCCAAAGGUUCCCUCAGAAUGGUUGGAAAUCAUUCGUAGAGUGCAAAGGCAUAAGGGAGCUUGACUGCGAGACCUACAAGUCGAGCAGGGACGAAAGUCGGGCUUAGUGAUCCGGUGGUUCCGCAUGGAAGGGCCAUCGCUCAACGGAUAAAAGCUACCCCGGGGAUAACAGGCUUAUCUCCCCCAAGAGUCCACAUCGACGGGGAGGUUUGGCACCUCGAUGUCGGCUCAUCGCAUCCUGGGGCUGUAGUCGGUCCCAAGGGUUGGGCUGUUCGCCCAUUAAAGCGGUACGCGAGCUGGGUUCAGAACGUCGUGAGACAGUUCGGUCCCUAUCCGUCGUGGGCGUAGGAAAUUUGAGAGGAGCUGUCCUUAGUACGAGAGGACCGGGAUGGACGCACCGCUGGUGUACCAGUUGUUCUGCCAAGGGCAUAGCUGGGUAGCUAUGUGCGGAAGGGAUAAGUGCUGAAAGCAUCUAAGCAUGAAGCCCCCCUCAAGAUGAGAUUUCCCAUAGCGUAAGCUAGUAAGAUCCCUGAAAGAUGAUCAGGUUGAUAGGUUCGAGGUGGAAGCAUGGUGACAUGUGGAGCUGACGAAUACUAAUAGAUCGAGGACUUAACCAUUUUAUAU
rnacentral:rRNA from 1 species